UUAUUACAGUGCGGUACGGUUCA
rnacentral:siRNA from 1 species